UCAGCAGCCAAACUAAUAUCACACCUUACAAUAACGAAAAAAUAAUAUCUGCACAAAGCUUCACAUUGAGUCAUUAACAGCAUGAACCCGAAAAUUUAUAUGCACCCGGGGGUACGGGGGUCGCGCUCCAGGAAUCAAAGAAGGAUUUGCAGUUUUUUUAAGUUUUUUUAAAGCAGCAGAAUAAUUAAUUGGAGAGAGAGAGAUGUACACCAAAGUUUCAGGAUUUCAAUCUCAGAUCCACAAUGCUAAUGGUCACUAUAAUAGACAGAGAAAUCAAAUAUAAAAUUACACAUAGAAACUUUAUAUAAGUAUAAAACGAAACCUAACAAUGCCAAUGAAACCAAAACCAAGAUGAUACAGAACGAC
rnacentral:misc_RNA from 1 species